UCGAGUCCGCUUUUAGCCGCAACAUGAGCCACGAGCGUGCAGACGCCGCCGCCAUGCCGAUGCAUCGCGCCAACAAUAGGAAGACUAACUGUGCACAUUGCCAGCUCAAUCAUUGAUAGGAUUUUACAAAGGAUCGCAAUAUUUUAUAUAAAUUUUCUUUGUGUGCACGCAUGAAGUAUUAACAUAAGUAUAAAUAUUUCUCUGCGUCAGCAUAUUGCUUUUUGUUUUUAAUACACGAGAAUACCAAGCUGAACUGAACUUUGUACCUGUGGAACUCAUACAAUCUUUGCACGUGUAAUGAUUGCUGAAAAGUUAUUUAUUAUACGAAUUUACAAUGUAGCAAUUAAAUAAUAACAAUCGAAUGAACUAGCAUAAGAUAUGUGUACGAAUAAAUAAAUCAUGGUAUGUUAC